CAGACCCUGCUAUUUUCAAGGCGCCACGCAUCACGUACACCAAUUGGCGGAGUAAUGGGGUGGAGGUGUCCGUGCCCUGGCCUUUUCAGUGAUAAACCCAUCCACCGCGUGCAUGCUUACGUGAUUGGUGGCGACCUCUGCGCCCGCAGAGCGUGCGCGUCCUGGUGAUCAUCGCCGCUGGGUAGUGCCGGCCCUUUAUACCCACAGGACCUGGGUCAAAAAUGGAUGACAUGGCAUGGGUGACAUGAGGAAUGGCACAUGUGCGACAUUUAAGCUGACGAACGGCAGCCGGGGUGAAAUGGGAAUCAGUUAAGGGAGGGAGCACCCAGGAAGUCGGCGACUGCCAAACGUGAAAAUAGGAAGAACGAAACUUCAGACGACAUGACCGCUCUGGAGCCCAGAAGCUUCAUCGCCGAGAAGUGGCUAGUGUUGGGUGUAUUUCACGCAUGUUAUACUCACAUAAAGUGUGAAGUGUUGCAGGAGUCUCAUGGACAUGACCGACCCAGGUUUUGUUUCUCACUUUAUGUAACGGAACGACAAAAACAAAGCGGUCUCGUUACCAAUUGCCUUUUUAUGACCUUUUGCAUCACUACCAGGAGCGCUUGGGUGCAUUUUGGUCUUCAUACGUGUGACAUUUCAGCACCAGGAGCAAUUCAUGAUACCGCGUGUGACGUGCAAUGACAAAAUUGCUGCCGUGUCCCAUAGAAGAUUAUGAUCCCGAGUUGUCUGCGACGAUAUGAUGUCGUGUUCCUGGUGUAAACGGACUGUGAUGACGUCAUCCAGUGACUGUUGAGCUGCCAACGUGACGCUAAGCAUGUCUUGUCAGCAGUAGCGCAAAAAACGCGGCCUCACAUAGACGGCAAAAUUUGCCGUUGUUCAGCCACCACUGCGUCGCCGUCCUUCGCAAACAGCACGGUGCAGAUGAAUGCGACUGCUUUUGUCGUUAUCAAUGCUGUAGCCCUUUUCUUUCAUCGCAAGGUGCAGCAUUUUCUGCAACGGAACAUCACGAAUUGUGUGAUGCGUCUCACGUCUUCGGAGCCGCAAUGACAAUUUGACAUGAAUCAUGUGUUUUGGCAAGGGCCGUUUCGGGGACAGUAUUAGAGCAAUAUAUAGCGAUGUGAGUUGGUCGUGCCUUCGGAAAAUGGGCAGCAUGUUACCUGCCUACCCCUUUGUGAUUUGGGAUGUAUAUUCGCCAAGGGCUUUGACAAUCGCAGGCUGUUUGUAGGCUCGAGUUCUGUUCAUGUCUGAGAUGGGGAUAGCCU